GACGAACGCUGGCGGCGUGCUUAACACAUGCAAGUCGAACGGAAAGGCCUGCUUUCCCUUGUGGAUUGCGGGUACUCGAGUGGCGAACGGGUGAGUAACACGUGAGUGAUCUGCCCCCAACUUGGGUAUAAGCCUGGGAAACUGGGUCUAAUUCCCGAUAGGACUGCAGGGUGGUGCCUGUGGUGGAAAACGAUUUUCUAGUGGUUGGGGAUGAGCUCGCGGCCUAUCAGCUUGUUGGUGGGGUAAUGGCCUACCAAGGCGGCGACGGGUAGCCGGCCUGGGAGGGGGGACGGCCACAUUGGGACUGGGAUACGGCCCAGACGCCUACGGGAGGCAGCAGUGGGGAAUAUGGCACAAUGGGCGGAAGCCUGAUGCAGCGACGCCGCGUGGGGGAUGUCGGCCUUCGGGUUGUAAACUCCUUUCGACCGCGAGGAAGCCACCUGGUUGGAAGGGUGGUGACGGUAGUGGUAGAAGAAGCACCGGCUAACUACGUG
rnacentral:rRNA from 1 species